CCCGGCGACCGGCGCACGGGUGAGUAACACGUAUGGAACCUGCCCGCAGCAGGGGGAUAAGCGGAAGAAAUUCCGUCUAAUACCGCGUAACGCCGCAGAGGGGCAUCCCUCGGCGGUUAAAGAUUCAUCGGCUGCGGAUGGCCAUGCGGCGCAUUAGCUAGUCGGCGGGGUAACGGCCCACCGAGGCGACGAUGCGUAGGGGUUCUGAGAGGAAGGUCCCCCACACUGGUACUGAGACACGGACCAGACUCCUACGGGAGGCAGCAG
rnacentral:rRNA from 1 species